rnacentral:rRNA from 1 species
UAAUAAGCGGAGGAAAAGAAACUAACAAGGAUUCCCCUAGUAAUGGCGAAUGAAGCGGGAACAGCUCAAAUUUGAAAUCUCCGUCGCCGGCCAGAAUUGUAGUUUCGAGAAGCACUUUCUAGGGGCUACCGGUGCCGUCCAAUUUGCUAGGAACAGCACUCAAGAGGGUGACAACCGUCUGUGGCGGACGCCGCGACGAUGGCCUUUCGA